GGGCGGGUAGCGCAGUGAUCAGCGUGCUCGUGAGCGUACUUUAGCGUUGAUUUUCUUCUCCUUCUCUUCCCUAGAAACAGCGUUCUUUGAGAGACCUGGGUUCGAGUCCCAGCCCGUCCA